GAUGAACGCUGGCGGCGUGCCUAAUACAUGCAAGUCGAGCGAACGGACGAGAAGCUUGCUUCUCUGAUGUUAGCGGCGGACGGGUGAGUAACACGUGGAUAACCUACCUAUAAGACUGGGAUAACUUCGGGAAACCGGAGCUAAUACCGGAUAAUAUUUUGAACCGCAUGGUUCAAAAGUGAAAGACGGUCUUGCUGUCACUUAUAGAUGGAUCCGCGCUGCAUUAGCUAGUUGGUAAGGUAACGGCUUACCAAGGCAACGAUGCAUAGCCGACCUGAGAGGGUGGUCGGCCACACGAGAAGUGGGACACGGUCCAGGCUCCUGCGGGAGGCAGCAGUCGGGAAUGUUACGCAAUGGGCGAAAGCCUGACGGAGCGACGCCGCGUGAGUGAUAAAGGUCUUCGGAGCGUAAAACUCUGUUAUUAGGGAAGAACAUAUGUGUACGUAAAUGUGCACAUCUUGACGGUACCUAAUCAGAAAGCCACGGCUAACUACGUG
rnacentral:rRNA from 1 species